AAUUAAUAUUAAUCAAUAUAACAAAAAUAUUUGAACCAUAUGGUCCUUUCGUACUAAUAUGGAUUAACAAUCUUAGGAUAGAAACCGACCUGGCUCACGCCGGUCUGAACUCAGAUCAUGUAAGAAUUUAAAGGUCGAACAGACCUAAUCAUUGGGCUCCUGCAGCCAAAAUUUUUCUUAAUCCAACAUCGAGGUCGCAAUCUGCUUUGUCGAUAUGAGCUCUCAAAAACAAUUACGCUGUUAUCCCUAAGGUAACUUAAUCUUAUGAUCAUAAAUUAUGGAUCAAAAUAACAAACAUAAAUAAAUGAUAUAAUAAUGAAGAGUUUAUCUAUGCUUCAUGUCACCCCAACAAAACAUCAUCAUUAAAUAUAGAAAGACAAACAAAAAACUAUAUAAAAGUAAAAUGUCAAGCUCUAUAGGGUCUUCUCGUCCUAAAGAAGAAUUUAAGCCUUUUGACUCAAAAGUUAAAUUCAAAAAUUUAUUAAGAGACAGUUGAUUUCUCGUCAAGCCAUUCAUUCCAGCCACUAAUUAAGAGACUAAUGAUUAUGCUACCUUUGCACGGUCAAAAUACCGCGGCUCUUUAAAAAUACGCUCAGUGAGCAGGCCAGACCUCAAAAUAUAAACAAGAGGACAUGUUUUUGAUAAACAGGCGGAAAUCAAUUUUGCCUAGUUCCUUAUAAUAAGUUCACAAGGUAAAAAUUUCAUACAAAUAAAUAUACUAAUUCUAUCAUUAUUACAAAAAUUUUUAAAUUAAAUUAAUAAUCUUAAUAAAAAACCUAAAAUAUUUAUAAAAUCAAAAUAAAAAAUAAUGAACUAAAACGUAAUCUUAAAGAUAGCUGGUUUAAAGCUUACUAUUAUAUUUCUAUAAAAUAAAUUAUAGGUUAUUAACUUCAAAGCUUAUCCCUUAAAGAAUAAAUAAGUUAAUAUUUGUACUAAAAAAAUUAAAUAAAAACAAAUAACUUUAAAAAAUUAAAUUUUUUCUUAAGAAACUAGAUAUCUUGGGAAACGAUUAACAUCUCAUUUCUAUAAAUAAUUUAAUAAUAAUUAUGAUACAUUAACUAUAAAUUAUUUAUAAAUCAACCCAAAUCGAGACAAGUAAAAUAAAUACUAAAAUUUUGAUAAACCCUUAUACAAAAGGUACAAUAAAUAAAAUCUACUUAAAAAAAUUUAAAAUAAUAUUUCAUAAAACACUUACAUUACCAAUAAACUAUAAUUUAAAAAAUCAAUUCUAUAAAAUAUACUAAGACAAAAAUACAAUAAAAUUAUUUAUAUUAAAUAAUUAAAUAAACAAAAAAUAAAUAUAAUAAAAUAAAUAA